GUUUAGGAGUAUGAACGUCCCGUUGGAUGAAGGCUUCAAGUGCCAGUGUGGUGAUGAUCAAAUGAAGGUGCAGGAAGAAAAGAGCCCCAUAUGCCACCUUGAGCUCCUUGGAGAAAAGAUGAGGUAAAGGUCUGGCUUGACACAAAAACAAAGAGGCCAAGAAGAACCAUUGCUCUGUUCUCCCACCUGUGCCAUCAUCACUAUGUUCCUGCUGAGUUUAUCUGGAGGAGGAAGGCAGAGGUCCCUUACAUGUUUGAUGUUGUGCUGCUGCCAAAUCACCCCCAUGGUAACACCAACUAGCACACAGAGAGACAUCUCUGCCUGAUCCUGUAUGGCCCUGAUGCAUCCAGGCAAUCAUCUGAAGAAGGGAGCCUCCUUAUCAAUGGAUGUUCUCCAUGAAGUUAAUCAUGAAGGGUAUCUGUCCUGCUUGUACUGUUACCAUGCAUGCAUACAGGGCAACAGAUGUGGCAACAGAGAGAUGGAGCUGAGGCAUUCCCUCUCAUCACCUGCUGAUUAAAGAAGGGGAUUCUUCUGGCUUCCUGCAAUACUUUCAGUCUCUGAAGCACAGCAUGUACUAGACAGCAAGCUGUUCUGACAGUAUAUUGGAGAACCACCACUCAGCAGAAACUCAGCUUGAUCAUUUGCA